UAUAUCCCUAAUUUUACUCCCACUAAACACCUCCACUUUCAGCGUAAUUUACAACCGAUCCAUCUUCUAUUUAAAAUCCAAAUUCGGGUUCUUCAUAAUCUUUCUUUGUAUUCCUCUCAUCUACAUCAUUUUUUUUCAUCUCCUGUUUGCUAUAUAAACUACAGUUAUAUUUGACAAAUCUAUCAAACAAGUCCAUCCAAGUUUUUCACUACUCUUUAUUCAAAUGUAUUUUCUCUCGCAUAUUUAUUCUCUCUGGUUUCACAUGAGUCUAGUUAAAAAUGCUGAUGGUAUGAGUACUACCACGAUGCAUCGGGUAUUUGGUAACGAGAAAUACAUGAAUGAAAAGUAAAGAGAGUUCGUGAACCUGAUGAACGUGUUGAUUAUUAGUUUCAGACUUUCAGCCAUUACAACAAUGUGGAUGGAGAAAUGAUUUCCUUGCUAAGGUGUAUCAAAACGAGAACAACAGCAUCAAAAUAUUACAAGAGGAGGAAACAAAAUUCAAACUUUUAUCCUCCAAACAUGAGUAUUGUAUUUUGCUGGGAAAAAUGAGUUAGUGUUAAUGGGAUUUACUUCAUAUAUAACAAUGAUGAACUAUUGCUAUUAUUUU